AUUGAACGCUGGCGGCAUGCCUUACACAUGCAAGUCGAACGGUAACACGUUUUCGGCUGCUGCUUACUGGUGGCCGGGUGCGUAAUACUUCGGAACACAUCCGAUUCUGGUUUUUAGUGGGGCGUAAGGUUUGCUAAUACCCCAUACGACCUCAGACGGCCAACGGGGGAAAUCCGGACCUCGUGCGGCCGUGGCGGCCGGUAGCAGCCGAUGUCGGAUUAGGUAGUUGGUGGGGUAAAGGCCUACCAAGGCGACGAUCCGUAGCUGGUCUGAGAGGAUGAUCAGCCACACUGGGACUGAGACACGGCCCAGACUCCUACGGGAGGCAGCAGUGGGGAAUAUUGGACAAUGGGCGAAAGCCUGAUCCAGCCAUGCCGCGUGGGUGAAGAAGGCCUUCGGGUUGUAAACCGCUUUUGUUAGGAAAGAAAAGCAGCUGGCUAAUAAAGAGGGGUCAUGACGGUACCGAAAGAAUAAGCACCGGCUAACUACGUG
rnacentral:rRNA from 1 species